UCAAGGUUCUGCAAGGUAGCAGAGGC
rnacentral:sRNA from 1 species